GAUUAGCGCAGCUUGGUAGCGCACUUGGUUUGGGUCCAAGGGGUCGCAGGUUCAAAUCCUGCAUCGCCGACCA
rnacentral:tRNA from 1 species